rnacentral:rRNA from 1 species
CCUACGGGUGGCAGCAGUGGGGAAUAUUGGGCAAUGGGCGAAAGCCUGACCCAGCAACGCCGCGUGAAGGAAGAAGGCUUUCGGGUUGUAAACUUCUUUUGACAGGGAAGAGCAGAAGACGGUACCUGUCGAAUAAGCUACGGCUAACUACGUGCCAGCAGCCGCGGUAAUACGUAGGUGGCAACCGCUGUCCGGAUUUACUGGGGGUAAAGGGCGUGUAUCCGGGCUGACAAGUCAGAUGUGAAAUCCGGGGGCGCAACGCCCGAACUGCAUUUGAAACUGUUGGUCUUGAGUGUCGGAGAGGCAGGCGGAAUUCCUGGUGUAGCAGUGAAAUGCGUAGAUAUUAGGAGGAACACCAGUGGCGAAGGCGGCCUGCUGGACGACAACUGACGGUGAGGCGCGAAAGCGUGGGGAGCAAACAGGAUUAGAUACCCCAGUAGUC